GCCGGGCGUGGUGGCCUAUACCUGUAAUCCCAUAGCCUUGGGAGGCUGAGACAGGAGGAUCGUGAGUUCAAAGCCAGCCUUAGCAAUGGCAAGGCACUAGCAACUCAGUGAGGCCCUGUCUUUA
rnacentral:sRNA from 1 species